GACAGAGGUGCCGAGCGUUAGGCGGAAUCACUGGGCUUAAAGCGUGUGUAGGCGGGCGGGCAAGUACCUUGUGAAAUCCCACGGCUCAACCGUGGAACUGCUGGGUAUACUGCCUGUCUUGAGCCAGUCAGGGCAGUCGGAACAGACGGUGGAGCGGUGAAAUGCGUAGAGAUGUGGAGGAACACCAGUGGCGAAGGCGACUCUCUGGUCUGUAACUGACGCUGAGGCGCGAAAGCGUGGGAGCGAACAGG
rnacentral:rRNA from 1 species